rnacentral:tRNA from 2 species
GGGCCGUUAGCGCAGUUGGUAGACCAGCGGACUUUUAAUCCGUUGGUCACUGGUUCGAAUCCAGUACGGCCCA